CUCAACUGAAUGUUCGAUGGGUGGAGUCAUCUGUUGUGGAGUGGAACUGAGGUAAGAGAAGCUGAAGAUAAAGGGCUGCGGGGAGGAAUGGGAAUCUGCAGUCUCCCUGCCAGUCACUGACCCAUUAACAUCCUGAAUGAUGGCCCUAUGUAACAUGCUAAAGUGUGAGGGCUGAAAUGUGAGAUCUGACCCACAGUCUCUUUCUCCAGUCGGGAGUAUCUGGAGACGGGACGUGUCAAAAGCAAAAUGGACGGAUGAAAAUCAUGUUUCUAUUGGUCAAUG